CGCUGACCAGACCAACUAUAGUUGCAAACAUGACUAGUGGUACCAUUUGAAUUGCUUUCUUUUUGUUUAUCGGAUGCUUCAAAAAGACCAUGACGCAGUAAAAUUCUAGGUAAAAGACAUCUCAUGUCACCUUUCUGCAUAAGAAAUUAAGUUUUCAAUGACUAUGCUAUAUUUCAUACGACUGUGAGGCCUAAGGAGUAGAUAUUAGCAGACAGACUUUCUAAACAUUAGUUCUUAUGAGACAAAUCAGAUACAAAUAAUAAAUGCUUAUAUUUGACAAUCACAUGAGAAGUANGAAAAGUCUGGUGAGCUGCUUUUGCCCACGUCGAUAUAUAAUACUUGCCCAUUUGUUCCUACUAAAUGUCGUUUCAUCAGCUGAGAUAUUGGCACCAUUGCUGUCAAGAAUAAUAAGACUUUAGUGACCAAAGAUAGCAUAUGCCACAAGUUGGUUAAAAGGUGAAUUCAUGUGUUGCCAAGUUCCUACUAAAUGUAUAAAGAAUGUGCAUGACAUCAAACACACAUAGCCCAAGUCUAUAUCAAUCCAGUCAUAAUGUUUACAAGUUCUUGAAGACAUGACAACACAAAUUGCAAUCUUGUUAAGAGAUCUUAAAUUCAUCUGAACACUAAAAUAUGCAUGCUUGAGUAUUUUUAUUUUUUUUUAAAGAAAUUAUUCUAAAGUUUGGCCGACUGCCUAGUUCAAUCAGGGGGAAUCUACUUUAUGUAGGAUAUCAAGCAAGAUAAUCGGAAGUCGUAAAAAAGAGAAUGGAAAAGACGCCUUGAUUGCCUUGAAUACUCCGGAAAAACAAGUUUUGCCAAAGAAAAGUGAGCCUAAACCUAUCAACCCGCGAGUCCAGGAACACGUUUACAGUCAUCAGCAUGUAAAUAAUUUUUUAUUAAGUCUUGCAGAAAGUGUUUGGAUUUCGGAACUAGACAAGCAGACUUAAGAAGAUAAUAUGUAACUUAUUAAACUAAUUAUCCAGAAGAACAUUAUGUUACGAUAAAAUUACAUUAAAAAAUACGGACUGGUGGAAUCGAUGCCAAAAAGAUGUUUGAGUAUCAUAGUUAUUAGUUAAUAUUCACCUUAAGCCUAUCUAGGGUUUACAGAUAGGAACGAUAUAUAUCUCUUUAAAGCUAAAAAUUGACUCACUUGAAGCAUUCUUUUGAGUUAUUGGCCUUCUGAAGCAAUUCAGUGUCAGCGUCCUCUGUCCCAGAAGCCUCUUCAAGAUCCAUCAUUCUAACAUUCAACAAAAAUUUAAACAAGCAAAUAUAUAAUGUCGCAAAUAUAUCUGGAAAAGAAGAAACCUGUACACAUUUAACAAAAGAUAAUAGCGCCAUCAAUCAUAAAUCAGGUGGUAAAGUAAAAGAAAGCAACAUCCUUCUCUUUUCUUUUUUUUUUGAACUAUCAAUAACACUAGUGAUAACCACUUAUCAUUUGAAAGCCACUACUAUGACACAUAAUUUAUCCGGUGUUGCGGUUAAUAGAAGAGAUUUUUUUAGUAAAUGGUCUUUUCUAACUGUUACUUCAUAUUAAGAAGAUCGACGAGAAGUUGCAAAGCUCCAGAAUCACCACAAGCUUCCCAUAUAGCACCUUGAACUUCGGUAUCAGAUGGUUGCCUCUCCCCCCCGGAACCAACUAGCUGUGUAAGAGGAAAAUCAGUCACAUUCAACAAUCAAUACGACCAUAAAAUUCCUUUGGCAUUACAUCCAUGAACCAAAAACUAUUAAACAGAGCACGACUGCCUAUAAAUUUCGUUGUUUAAUAACUAAUGUGAAGUAGCCAAUAUGUACCUCGAUAUAAUUCAGGGAAAAUAGAAUCCUAGCAAUCAAAGUAGUACUAAUUUGUAAGCUAAUGGCUUACUGGUAUUCUCAACUACUAACCACCGAUUCUCUAUUAAAGGAGAAGAUACAGGGAUCUGAUUACCUCCGUGAGUAAUGAUGAAACACGAUGUAUGUCCUCUUCUUGCAUAGCUAUAGUCCUCAACGAAGCCAUGAAUUUCUCGGGAAAAACAAGUUUGCCAAUGUAAGAUGGCAGCUUGCGCUGACCAGACCAACUAUAGUUGCAAACAUGACUAGUGGUACCAUUUGAAUUGCUUUCUUUUUGUUUAUCGGAUGCUUCAAAAAGACCAUGACGCAGUAAAAUUCUAGGUAAAAGACAUCUCAUGUCACCUUUCUGCAUAAGAAAUUAAGUUUUCAAUGACUAUGCUAUAUUUCAUACGACUGUGAGGCCUAAGGAGUAGAUAUUAGCAGACAGACUUUCU
rnacentral:lncRNA from 1 species